rnacentral:rRNA from 1 species
CGGACGGGUGAGUAACGCGUGGGUAACCUGCCUCAUACAGGGGGAUGACAGUUAGAAAUGACUGCUAAUACCGCAUAAGACCACAGCACCGCAUGGUGCAGGGGUAAAAACUCCGGUGGUAUGAGAUGGACCCGCGUCUGAUUAGGUAGUUGGUGGGGUAACGGCCUACCAAGCCGACGAUCAGUAGCCGACCUGAGAGGGUGACCGGCCACAUUGGGACUGAGACACGGCCCAA